UACGGAGGGGGGCUAGCGUUGUUCGGAAUUACUGGGCGUAAAGCGUGCGCAGGCGGUUAUGUAAGACAGAUGUGAAAUGCCCGGGCUUAACCUGGGAACUGCAUUUGUGACUGCAUGGCUAGAGUUUGGCAGAGGGGGGUAGAAUUCCACGUGUAGCAGUGAAAUGCGUAGAUAUGUGGAGGAACACCGAUGGCGAAGGCAGCCCCCUGGGUCAAGACUGACGCUCAUGCACGAAAGCGUGGGGAGCAAACAGG
rnacentral:rRNA from 1 species